UACGUAGGGGCUAGCGUUGUCCGGAAUUAUUGGGCGUAAAGAGCUCGUAGGCGGUCUGUCGCGUCGGAUGUGAAAACCCAGGGCUCAACCCUGGGCCUGCAUUCGAUACGGGCAGACUAGAGUUCGGUAGGGGAGACUGGAAUUCCUGGUGUAGCGGUGAAAUGCGCAGAUAUCAGGAGGAACACCGGUGGCGAAGGCGGGUCUCUGGGCCGAAACUGACGCUGAGGAGCGAAAGCGUGGGGAGCAAACAGG
rnacentral:rRNA from 1 species